AAGGUAGCCCUGGGGAUGAGGUCCUCUAUUUACACAACAGGUGCAGCACAGGCUGCAGCUGUAUAAGCUUCCCUACCACUAACCUACAAAUGUGCCUCAGUCAUUAGCUGAAUGAGCCACUUCCAGGACCAAUUUACCCAGGUUUCU
rnacentral:sRNA from 1 species